rnacentral:rRNA from 1 species
GACAGAGGGUGCAAACGUUGUUCGGAAUUACUGGGCGUAAAGCGUGUGUAGGCGGCCAUUCAAGUCGGAUGUGAAAGCCCCGGGCUCAACCCGGGAAGUGCACCCGAUACUGUAUGGCUUGAGUAUCGGAGAGGUUGGUGGAAUUCUCGGUGUAGAGGUGAAAUUCGUAGAUAUCGAGAGGAACACCGGUGGCGAAGGCGGCCAACUGGACGAAUACUGACGCUGAGACACGAAAGCGUGGGGAGCAAACAGG